GAUGAACGCUAGCUACAGGCUUAACACAUGCAAGUCGAGGGACCGGCGCAGGGGGGAGAAACACGUAUCAACCCUCCCCUUUCCUCGGGGAUAGCUUUUCGAAAGAAAGAUUAAUACCCGAUAAAAGGGAUGGGGAUGCGUGCCUUUAGGUUGUUGGUGAGGUAACGGCUAACCAAGCCUUCGAUGGAUAGGGGUGCUGAGAGGAAGGCCCCCCACAUUGGAACUGAGACCCGGUCCAAACUCCUACGGGAGGCAGCAGUGAGGAAUAUUGGUCAAUGGGCGGUAGCCUGAACCAGCCAAGUAGCGUGAAGGAUGAAGGCUUAUGGGUCGUAAACUUCUUUUAUAUAAGAAUAUGUAUUAUAUGAAUAAGGAUCGGCUAACUCCGUGCCAGCAGCCGCGGUAAUUC
rnacentral:rRNA from 1 species